CAUCUAUCAAGUACUUCAAAGUAAUUGAUGGGAAUAUUGUAGGUAGAACAUAGAGCUAAUAUAUAGCAAAAUUCAAAAUCCAUAAGUGAAUCGAAACCCAAUUUAAUUGAAAAACAUAACAAAACCAGACAUGGUAAACUAAAAAUCCUUUGUUCUUUAAAAGAUCAAAAAAGGAAAAGCCAGGAUACACCAAAACUGACUUUGUUACCCAUAUAAACUUUUUUAACUUCCCACUCUAAAAGCAAAUAAUUGCCUGUUACUUCUCUAAUCUCCCUUUCUCCUGAAAGAACAACCCUCGGUGAGUCUAGCACGCCCACCAGUUGGCUGGCACAAGACCGUCUGACAGUUCCCGCACACCACCACAGUUUGCGAGUGGCUGAACACCGUUGUUAUGUUAAAGCAACCCUGGCACUUCACAUCCAUGAAG
rnacentral:misc_RNA from 1 species